GAUUAAUGUAAUUACUGGAUAGAAAACAGACGUGUGCUUUUCCGAUAACUGGCUUGUGGCGGCCAAGCGUUCAUAGCGAUGCCGCUUUUUGAUCCUUCGAUGUCGGCUCUUCCUAUCAUUGUAAAGCAGAAUUCACCAAGCGUUGGAUUGUUCACCCACUA